GACGAACCGAGCGAACGUUGUUCGGAAUCACUGGGCUUAAAGGGCGCGUAGGCGGGCUGCCGCGUCCGGGGUGAAAUCCCACGGCUCAACCGUGGAACGGCCCCGGGUACGGGCGGCCUCGAGGGGGGUAGUGGCGUGCGGAACUGUGGGUGGAGCGGUGAAAUGCGUUGAUAUCCACAGGAACUCCGGUGGCGAAGGCGGCACGCUGGACCCCCACUGACGCUGAGGCGCGAAAGCCAGGGGAGCGAACGGG
rnacentral:rRNA from 1 species